CCAUAGGCCUUUUUGAAAAGGCCAUCCAAAUUAUUUAACAGGUUGGUU
rfam:Nestor notabilis contig29026, whole genome shotgun sequence.